AAAAACUUAGUUAAAAAAUAACAUUAACUUGUCAAGUUAAAAUUAAUUUCACUAUUAGUUUUUA
rnacentral:tRNA from 1 species